UGUAGCUUUGGAGCCUAUCCUAAA
rnacentral:piRNA from 1 species